UACGAACGGUGCAAGCGUUACUCGGAAUCACUGGGCGUAAAGCGCACGUAGGCGGACUCGUAGGCCAAUUGUGAAAUACCUGGGCUCAACCCGGGAACUGCAGUUGAAACCGCUUGUCUUGAAUACCUGAGAGGGUGGGGGAAUACCUGGUGGAGAAGUGAAAUUCGUAGAGAUCAGGUGGAACACCGGAGGCGAAGGCGCCUGCCUGGCAGUGUAUUGACGCUGAGGUGCGAAAGUGCGGGGAGCAAACAGG
rnacentral:rRNA from 1 species